rnacentral:rRNA from 1 species
GACGAACGCUGGCGGCAUGCCUAAUACAUGCAAGUCGAGCGAACAGAUGAAGUGCUUGCACUUCUGACGUUAGCGGCGAACGGGUGAGUAACACGUAAGGAAUCUACCUAUAAGCGGGGGAUAACAUUCGGAAACGGGUGCUAAUACCGCAUAAUAUCUUCUUCCGCAUGGAAGAAGAUUGAAAGACGGCUCUGCUGUCACUUAUAGAUGACCUUGCGGUGCAUUAGUUAGUUGGUGGGGUAAUGGCCUACCAAGACGAUGAUGCAUAGCCGAGCUGAGAGGGUGAUCGGCCACAUUGGGUCUGAGACACGGCCCAAACUCCUACGGGAGGCAGCAGUAGGGAAUCUUCCGCAAUGGGCGAAAGCCUGACGGAGCAAUGCCGCGUGAGUGAAGAAGGCCUUCGGGUCGUAAAACUCUGUUAUAAGAGAAGAACAAAUUGUAGAGUAACUGCUACAGUCUUGACGGUAUCUUAUCAGAAAGCCACGGCUAACUACGUGCCAGCCGCCGCUGUAA